rnacentral:rRNA from 1 species
AGAGUUUGAUCAUGGCUCAGAACGAACGCUGGCGGCAGGCCUAACACAUGCAAGUCGAGCGCUGUAGCAAUACAGAGCGGCGCACGGGUGAGUAACACGUGGGAACGUGCCCUUUGGUUCGGAAUAACUCAGGGAAACUUGAGCUAAUACCGGAUGAGCCCUAACGGGGAAAGAUUUAUCGCCGAAGGAGCGGCCCACGUAGGAUUAGCUAGUUGGUGGGGUAAAAGCCCACCAAGGCGACGAUCCUUAGCUGGUUUGAGAGAACGACCAGCCACACUGGGGCUGAGACACGGCCCAGACUCCUACGGGAGGCAGCAGUGGGGAAUCUUGGACAAUGGGGGAAACCCUGAUCCAGCCAUGCCGCGUGAGUGAUGAAGGCCCUAGGGUUGUAAAACUCUUUCGGCGGGGACGAUAAUGACGGUACCCGCAGAAGAAGCUCCGGCUAACUUCGUGCCAGCAGCCGCGGUAAUACGAAGGGGGCUAGCGAUGUUCGGAAUUACUGGGCGUAAAGCGCGCGCAGGCGGUUCUUCAAGUCAGAGGUGAAAGCCCAGGGCUCAACCCUGGAAUGGCCUUUGAGACUAGAGGACUUGGGUACGGGAGAGGUGAGUGGAAUUCCGAGUGUAGAGGUGAAAUUCGUAGAUAUUCGGAAGAACACCAGUGGCGAAGGCGGCUCACUGGCCCGUUACCGACGCUCAGGCGCGACAGCGUGGGGAGCAAACAGGAUUAGAUACCCUAGUAGUCC